rfam:Echinococcus granulosus EG_S00066, whole genome shotgun sequence.
GCGUGUGUGGUGUAGCGGUUAGCAUGGCUGCCUUCCAAGCAGUCGAUCCGGGUUCGACUCCCGGCACACGCA